CACAGAGGCAGAAGAGGCCCAUCUAGGAGGACAUUUGAUACUCAUAACAGGGGUCUGACUAGGACUGUCCUACAUUUCCCAGUGUGCCAUGCGGCAAACAUAAGCCCACUUGAUCAGGAACUACAUCUCCCAGAAAGCAAUGGCUCGUUGGAAAAGGUUCUCAGGACUCCAUUUUGCAUAAACCUGUGACAGAGGGCAAUUUCUUCAUAAGGUACAGAUUCUGAUUGAGGGGAAAGAGACUUCUGAGAAGAGGGACCUGCAUGGAAGAGCUAUUGCGAUGAUAGCACCCAUGAGCCCAAGACCUCAGGCAUAUUGCUGAGAUGCCACAGAAUAAGGAAAGACAGUUACCGAAAGCAUAGAAGCAAGCUUGAGGAGCCUGGUGUGUUCAGAUCUCCGACCUCCUCCGUCCUGCCCUCAAGACCCGUCUCACUCGAGCUCCGAGCUCCGUUUCUCCAUCUCCAACUGCCUUUUGAAUAUCUCUGAAAUGUCCUGCUGAUGCUUCAAACUCAACAGGUCCAAAUUUGUAUUGAUUUCCAUUGCUCCAAACCUGACUUAUUUCCCUCCUCCCCUGUUUCUAAUGACGACACCACCAUUCUCCAGGCUCAAAGUUUCAAAACCUCUGGAUCGAGUUUGAUUCUUCUCACACACAACCAUGAAUUGGCAGUCAGGAAGACCUGGCUUUACUUUCUGCCUCUGGAACUUUGUAACUUUGUGAGCUGGGGCUUCCAUUUCCUUCUUAAUUUGCAAAAGGGGGAUAAAGCCCUAUUUCCCAGGGCUGUUGUAAGGCUCAGACACCAUAAUUUAUGUAAAACCCUUCACAAAACUUAAUGUGAUACGUGUGUAACCGAUGUCAUAUUGCUUGCUGUCUUGGCAAGGGGAGAGGGGAGGGAGAAAAAUUUGGAAUGCAAAAUUUUUCCAAAAAUGAAUUUGGAAAUUGUCAUUAAAUGUAAUUGGAAAAAAUAAAAUAUUAUCAUUAAAAAAAUAAACCAUCCUGAUGGGGAAGAACUUUA